rnacentral:rRNA from 1 species
UGGGGAAUAUUGCACAAUGGAGGGAACUCUGAUGCAGCGACGCCGCGUGAGUGAUGAAGGAAUUCGUUUCGUAAAACUCUGUUCUAUGGGAAGAAAAGGACUGUACCAUAGGAGAAAGCUCCGGCUAAAUACGUGCCAGCAGCCGCGGUAAUACGUAUGGAGCGAGCGUUGUCCGGAAUUAUUGGGCGUAAAGGGUGCGCAGGCGGCUUUACAAGUUGGAUGUGAAAUAUUGUGGCUCAACCACAAACGUGCAUCCAAAACUUCAAAGCUUGAGUUAAGGAGAGGUAAGUGGAAUUCCUGGUGUAGCGGUGGAAUGCGUAGAUAUCAGGAGGAAUACCGGUGGCGAAGGCGACUUACUGGACUUAAACUGACGCUCAGGCACGAAAGCGUGGGGAGCAAACAGG